GGCCAUGAGCCCGUUGCAGGCCCGCCACAGGGCCGGCGCCAUGGGUCGGACAGCGCGGCGCGGGGCGCACCUGACAUACCUGGAUAUAAACAAUAUCCAAGGCCCCUAAGGUAAAAGCCAUGCUCCAAGUCCCCUUCUGACUUCUAGUCACUUCCUUGCUGCCAGCAGAGGGCAUGGGAUUCUUCCUGAGGAGCCUGAGUCUCAGCUUUGCCAGGUCCUUGCUGUGUGACCUUGGGCACCUGUGCUCCCUUGACAAAGAGGAAUAAAACCUCUUCAUACUACUCUCCUUUUGAUUCUCUCCUGGAACAUAUGACCACCAUCAAUUAUAGGCAAGAACAUGAACACGGGAGUCCCAAAGACCUGGGUUCAAAUGUCAGGCCCUUCACUCGCUGGCUGUAGGUGUGAGGCCCUGGGCAAGGUCCUUACCUCCCCAAGUGUCUGAGCCUGUUCCCGUAUAACGUUCACUUGACUUGAAUGUCAUGAAAUGUACAUUAGACUUUGUAAGUAAACACCUAGCUGAGUACCUGGAGCAUAGUAAGUGCUUAUCACAUGUUCCAUGGAGUCCCAGACACGAGCAGCUAAUGCUCCUGCUGUCUGCUCAGUUCUGAGA
rnacentral:antisense_RNA from 1 species